UACGUAGGGUGCAAGCGUUAUCCGGAAUGAUUGGGCGUAAAGCGUCCGCAGGUGGCUAUGUAAGUCUGCUGUUAAAGAGUGAGGCUCAACCUCAUAAAAGCAGUGGAAACUACAUGGCUAGAGUGCGUUCGGGGCAGAGGGAAUUCCUGGUGUAGCGGUGAAAUGCGUAGAGAUCAGGAGGAACACCUGUGGUGUAGACGGCUCUCUGGACCGCAACUGACGCUGAGACACGAAAGCGUGGGUAGCAAACAGG
rnacentral:rRNA from 1 species